rnacentral:rRNA from 1 species
GAUGAACGCUGGCGGCGUGCUUAACACAUGCAAGUCGAACGAGAGAAGAUCGGUGCUUGCACUGGUCCGAUCGAGUGGCGGACGGGUGAGUAACGCGUGGGUAACCUGCCUCAUACAGGGGAAUAACAGUUGGAAACGGCUGCUAAAACCGCAUAAGCGCACGGUAUCGCAUGAUACAGUGUGAAAAACUCCGGUGGUAUGAGAUGGACCCGCGUCUGAUUAGCUAGUUGGUGAGGUAACGGCCCACCAAGGCAACGAUCAGUAGCCGGCCUGAGAGGGUGAACGGCCACAUUGGGACUGAGACACGGCCCAAACUCCUACGGGAGGCAGCAGUGGGGAAUAUUGCACAAUGGGGGAAACCCUGAUGCAGCGACGCCGCGUGAGUGAUGAAGUAUUUCGGUAUGUAAAGCUCUAUCAGCAGGGAAGAUAAUGACG